ensembl:misc_RNA 7SK 7SK RNA
AGCUGUUAGGGAGAUUUGGCUGUGGUAGCUGUCACCCCACUGAGCCCCGAGGCAAGUAGGCUGAUCUGGCUGGCGGGGCAAGUGUCCCUUUCCUCCCUCACCCCUCCAUGUGCAGCAACAGCCCCAGAGAGAGGAGCAGUAUUUCCUGGGUCAGGGAUAUAGGAGUACCUACACUUCCCUGCUAGAACCUCCAGUCAAGCUCUCAAGAAUUGAUUCCUGAAUGACAUUUGGGCAAAGCACCCGGACCUACAACAUGAGACAACCGAUUU